rnacentral:rRNA from 1 species
GACGAACGCUGGCGGCGUGCCUAAUACAUGCCAGUCGAGCGCUGAAGCUUGGUACUUGUACCAACUGGAUGAGCAGCGAACGGGUGAGUAACGCGUGGAGAAUCUGCCUUUGAUCGGGGGACAAUAUUGGGAAACGAAUGCUAAUACCGCAUAAAAACUUUAAACACAAGUGUUAAGUGUGAAAGAUGCAAUUGCAUCACUCAAAGAUGAUCCCGCGUUGUAUUAGUUAGUUGGUGAGGUAAAGGCUCACCAAGGCGUUGAUACAUAGCCGACCUGACAGGGUGAGCCGCCACAUUGGGACUGAGACACGGCCCAAACUGCUACGGGAAGGAGCAGUAGGGGAACUUCGGCCAUGGACGGAAAGCUGACCGCACAAAGCCGCGGGAGUGAAGAAAGUUUUCGGGUCGGAAAAGUCUGUUUGUAGGGAAGAACGUGGGUGAGAGUGGAAAGCUCAUCAAGUGACGGUAACUACCCAAAAAGCAACGGCUAACUACGUG